CAGAGAUUAAUUUCAAUAAUUAUAUGAAUUUUAUCUUGGCAAAUUUCAAAAAGUGUUGGAUAUAUGGAGAUUUUGUUUGUUAUAAUUACGUAAAAGCUAUUAAAAAAAUUUUUUCAUUGAAAAUGAUUUAUGUAUCAUACGUCCUUUUAUGUGAUUAUUAUAUGUCAUGUCCAUUUAUGUGAUGUGAUGAUUCUUUUGUAAGUGAAACAAAAAAAGUUGUACCUAUUUUAUUUCUAAAUUUGUUUUUAUUUAUACAUUUACAUUGCGCGGAAAAAUAACAUAAUUAUUGCGCGCGCCGGCAUCGAGCGCGCGUUCGCAUGAUCGGUAGACAGAUAGAAAAGGCUAUAUAUUGUUUUCUUCUACGCUAAACAUUCGAACGUCGAAGCAUCGGCCUGUUGAUUGUCGAGCGCAGUGGAACGCACAUGUUUGUACACGUUCGUGUAUUAUGCAGUCGGGUUUUCUUUUGUGUGUGCCUAGGCUAUCUUGCGAGUAUCGGCGCUUUGGUUAAUUGAAUUAUUAACCUUAUUUCCCAUUAUUGCCUUGAACGGAAAGCUGUUCUGUUCCGCAAAAAGAAAAAGAGUUAGGCUCGGGCUCGAUUUCAUCAUCAUCUCUCUCUCUCUCUCUCUCUCUCUCUCUCUCUCUCUCUACAGAAGGUGGGAAAAGCCAGUUUAUUAAGACGUUCAUCUCCAAGACGUUCACCUUGUAAUAUUGUACUAAGUUCGUAAAGUUCCUCAUCAAGAGGAACUGAGUCUUCACAGCGCUUACAUGACAUUACAUUAAAUACUUCACUUAGGCACUCAUCAGAUUUGUUUCGUGUUAUUAUUACAAAAUUAGGAGCAUUAGAAAACUCAAUGAAUAUACUUCUUCCAAUGGUGAAGCAACUUAUAGUACACUUCCGACUAUUGAAAGUAUCUCAUAUGGAAGGUGUUCCCAAACUUCCAAUUGACAGUGAUGAAAAUUUGGAAGAAUUCGAAAGGUUUUUGGAUACUAAUACAAAUUUGGAGUACAUGGUUAAUACUUUAAGCAUAUCAGGUGGCACAACUGUUUCUCAGAUCAGUAGAAGGACUCUGGAAAGAAUAAUUACAAAUAAUUAUGCUAGAAAUUUUAACGGCAGGAAGAACACCGAAGAAAUCUUUCAAGAUUCUUAAAAUAAAGGACUUAGUCAUAGCUAUUGUCAAGGCUAUUGAACCAAAUGCUGCAAUAUAUGAUGUAGAAAAGUCCAUAAAAGAUUAGCUCAAAUUAGCACCUCUUCGUGUAACCUUAGCCGAUUCCAGGGCAUUGAAGACAAAUUCAAGAAAAGUAUAAUUUCUCAUCGUUUCAGUUUCGAUAUUAAUGUUUAUUUUGUAUUUACAUAUUUCUAUCCAUUCCAUUUCAAGAAUUUGAGAUUUAUUAUUUAGUAAUUUGCAGGACAAUUAGGAAUAUGUAUUAUCAUAGUAUUCUGCAAUGUACUCGCACUCGCCACUGAAACGUGUUCUCAUUGAAGCAUUAAAAUAAGUAUAUAUCUCUUUACCACCUAAUAAUGUAUCGCAAAGAUGACCGAUAAUAUAAAAGCACUGUUAGUUGUUUUGUUAUAAUGUUAUGCGUAAUACAAUUAUGUAAUUAAAAAUUAAAACCAAAAUCGAUAAAAACUUUUAGUUUAAAAACUUACAUUUAAAACUUAAAUUUAAAACUUAGUACAUAUAUGUAUACGCAAUGUGCAAUAUUAUAUACUUUUACACAUUUUUAGUUGGCGAUGUUUCUGAUACUUUGACGGUGGUAAAAAGAUAUAACAAAAAUUAUAUACUUUAAUACCAUAAAAAUAUCAGUAACAGUUUAGCAUUUUAUUUUAUAAUGUUUCAGUUUUAUAUUAUGUAUUAGUUUAAUAUUACAUUAACAUUUAGUUUAUUUUGUAGCUUGUGUGUGUAAUUCUUUUACAACUUUUAUAUGCGUUAAUUAAUUUUAUUUUAACGUUGUUAUUUACUCUUUAAACAUUAAGUAUCACAUUUAUUCUCAUUUAUAAUACUAAAAACAUCGUACUUUAAGUUGUACCGACAUUUUCCUUAUAAAACAUAUACAAAAAAAACCUGAAGCUUUGUACAAAUGUACAAUUCUAAAUUGUGUUGAUUUCUAAAAUAUAUUAUUUAUAAUUAUGUUCUGCAAAUGUUAU